rnacentral:rRNA from 1 species
AUUGAACGCUGGCGGCAGGCCUAACACAUGCAAGUCGAACGAGUGGCGGACGGGUGAGUAAUGUCUGGGAAACUGCCCGAGGGAGGGGGAUAACUACUGGAAACGGUAGCUAAUACCGCAUACCAUCGGAUGUGCCCAGAUGGGAGUAGCUUGUAGGUGAGGUAACGGCUCACCUAGUCGACGAUCCCUAGCUGGUCUGAGAGGAUGACCAGCCAAGUUGGAACGGAGACACGGUCCAGACUCUGACGGGAGGCAGCAGUGGGGAAUAUUGCACAAGGGGCGCAAGCCGGAGGCAGUUAUGCCGCGUGUAUGAAGAAGGCCUUCGGGUUGUAAAGUACUUGCAGCGGGGAGGCGUUACCCGCAGAAGAAGCACCGGCUAACGCCGUGCCAGCAGCCGCGGUAAUUC